rnacentral:rRNA from 1 species
GAUUUCUGGUUUAAUGCGCCUGGCCCGCCUCGUAAGAGUGUGAGUGCCGGUGCGCGUUUGCCAUCCUUCUAGAAAACGAUUCUGCCAUUCACUUGGUUGGGAUCGCGAUCUAGAUCUUUUACUUUGAAAAAAUUAGAGUGUUUAAAGCAGGCUUUUGCUAUGAAUACAUUAGCAUGGAAUAAUAAUCUAGGACUUCGGUUCUAUUUUGUUGGUUUCUAUAACUGAAGUAAUGAUUGAUAGGGAUAGUUGGGGGUGCUAGUAUUGGCCGGCCAGAGGUGAAAUUCUUGGAUUCGGUCAAGACUAACUUAUGCGAAAGCAUU